CGUACCCUUCACUACGGAAUAGUCCCGGGAAACUGGGUUUAAUACCGUAUACGCCCUUCGGGGGAAAGAAUUUCGGUGAGGGAUCGGCCCGCGUUAGAUUAGUUAGUUGGUGGGGUAAUGGCCUACCAAGACUACGAUCUAUAGCUGGUUUGAGAGGAUGAUCAGCAACACUGGGACUGAGACACGGCCCAGACUCCUACGGGAGGCAGCAGUGGGGAAUCUUAGACAAUGGGGGCAACCCUGAUCUAGCGAUGCCGCGUGAGUGAUGAAGGCCUUAGGGUCGUAAAGCUCUUUCGCCUGUGAUGAUAAUGACAGUAGCAGGUAAAGAAACCCCGGCUAACUCCGUGCCAGCAGCCGCGGUAAUACGGAGGGGGUUAGCGUUGUUCGGAAUUACUGGGCGUAAAGCGCACGUAGGCGGAUUAGUCAGUCAGAGGUGAAAUCCCAGGGCUCAACCCUGGAACUGCCUUUGAUACUGCUAGUCUUGAGUUCGAGAGAGGUAAGUGGAAUUCCGAGUGUAGAGGUGAAAUUCGUAGAUAUUCGGAGGAACACCAGUGGCGAAGGCGGCUUACUGGCUCGAUACUGACGCUGAGGUGCGAAAGUGUGGGGAGCAAACAGGAUUAGAUACCCUGGUAGUCCACACCGUAAACGAUGAAUGCCAGUCGUCGGGUAGCAUGCUAUUCGGUGACACACCUAACGGAUUAAGCAUUCC
rnacentral:rRNA from 1 species